rnacentral:rRNA from 1 species
GACGUAGGGGGCCAGCGUUGCUCGGAAUUACUGGGCGUAAAGGGUUCGUAGGCGGCGCGGCAAGUCGGUUGUGAAAUCUCCAGGCUUAACUUGGAGGCUGCUGCCGAAACUGCUGUGCUAGAGUGCAGGAGAGGCGAGUGGAAUUACAGGUGUAGCGGUGAAAUGCGUAGAUAUCUGUAGGAACACCCGUGGCGAAGGCGGCUCGCUGGACUGCAACUGACGCUGAGGAACGAAAGCUAGGGGAGCAAACAGG